AGUGAACGCUGGCGGUAGGCCUAACACAUGCAAGUCGAACGGCAGCACAGUAAGAGCUUGCUCUUACGGGUGGCGAGUGGCGGACGGGUGAGGAAUACAUCGGAAUCUACUUUUUCGUGGGGGAUAACGUAGGGAAACUUACGCUAAUACCGCAUACGACCUACGGGUGAAAGCAGGGGAUCUUCGGACCUUGCGCGAUUGAAUGAGCCGAUGUCGGAUUAGCUAGUUGGCGGGGUAAAGGCCCACCAAGGCGACGACCCGUAGCUGGUCUGAGAGGAUGAUCAGCCACACUGGAACUGAGACACGGUCCAGACUCCUACGGGAGGCAGCAGUGGGGAAUAUUGGACAAUGGGCGCAAGCCUGAUCCAGCCAUACCGCGUGGGUGAAGAAGGCCUUCGGGUUGUAAAGCCCUUUUGUUGGGAAAGAAAAGCAGCAGGUUAAUACCCCGCUGUUCUGACGGUACCCAAAGAAUAAGCACCGGCUAACUUCGAG
rnacentral:rRNA from 1 species